AUUGAACGCUGGCGGCAUGCCUUACACAUGCAAGUCGAACGGCAGCACGGGAGCAAUCCUGGUGGCGAGUGGCGAACGGGUGAGUAAUAUAUCGGAACGUGCCCGGUCGUGGGGGAUAACGUAGCGAAAGCUACGCUAAUACCGCAUACGAUCUACGGAUGAAAGCGGGGGAUCUUCGGACCUCUCGCUAUCAGAUGAGCCCAUGUCAGAUUAGCUUGUUGGUGAGGUAAAGGCUCACCAAGGCGACGAUCUGUAACUGGUCUGAGAGGAUGAUCAGUCACACUGGAACUGAGACACGGUCCAGACUCCUACGGGAGGCAGCAGUGGGGGAAUAUUGGACAAUGGGGGGCAACCCUGAUCCAGCCAUGCCGCGUGUGUGAAGAAGGCCU
rnacentral:rRNA from 1 species